GCUCAGGAGGGUCCAUAGCUCAGUGGUAGGGCAUCUGCUAUGCAUGCAGACAGUCCCAGGUUCAAUCCCUGGCAUCUCUGGGUA